UACGUAGGGUGCAAGCGUUGUCCGGAAUUAUUGGGCGUAAAGAGCUCGUAGGCGGUUUGUCGCGUCGAAUGUGAAAACCCGGGGCUCAACCCCGGGCCUGCAUUCGAUACGGGCAGACUAGAGUUCGGUAGGGGAGUCUGGAAUUCCUGGUGUAGCGGUGAAAAUGCGCAGAUAUCAGGAGGAACACCGAUGGCGAAGGCAGGUCUCGUGGGCCACUACUGACGCUGAGAAGCGAAAGCAUGGGGAGCGAACAGG
rnacentral:rRNA from 1 species